rnacentral:rRNA from 1 species
UACGUAGGGUGCAAGCGUUGUCCGGAAUUAUUGGGCGUAAAGAGCUCGUAGGCGGUUUGUCGCGUCUGCUGUGAAAACGCGAGGCUCAACCUCGCGCCUGCAGUGGGUACGGGCAGACUAGAGUGCGGUAGGGGAGAUUGGAAUUCCUGGUGUAGCGGUGAAAUGCGUAGAGAUCAGGAGGAACACCCAUGGCGAAGGCAGCACUCUGGACCGGACCUGACGCUGAGACGCGAAAGCGUGGGGAGCGAACGGG